AUUAGUGAUUUCGAGUUACCCUGAACUUCCCACUGAUCAUUGUCAUUGGUUCGCCGAAGGGAUUCCAUAGAAAUGCUACUCUUCAAAGAUCUUUCCGAGCUGCUACAAAACUCUUGGGCCCUAAACAAAAUUGCAAGAAUCUUCUUCAAACUCUUGGAAUACCUCCAAGGAAUCAAUCCGGAGCAUCAGCUAUGAAGCAUCUGAACUUUAUUUUUACUAAAUGAUUCUUGAAGUGGAUACCACCGCUGGCGAAAACCUCUUGGACUUCAUUUGUGAACAUUUUAAAGAAAUUGUUCGGAUCUUUCGGCUUACCCUUCCCAUAAUAGACACCUGCGAUCAGUAUAGAGCUAUCAGGAAUAUUUAUUAUUCAGAACUGGAUAGGCCAAUACUGAGUUGAACAGUCUUUUGCGCCAGCAGCUCCACCAGUACUAACAUCGAUUUCUAAGAUAUUAGUCUCAAUCAAUAUUCUUACAUCUUCUGGACACCAAGCCAAACAGCAAUGUGAUCUGAGAACUAUAGCAUCUGAAUUUGAACACCCAUAUUCGGAAGAAUUAUCUUUCGCCUCGCGAGCUAAGUUAUUCCACGUAACUGAACUUUGCGGUUCGUAAGGAGGACUGUCAUUUGGUAAAAUAGAUGCUACAACGUUUCCAUUAUUCAAAGAUAUUUCCUCAGAACUAUCAUUAUUGACGAUAUUGCAACGUAAAUAAGGAUUAGCAUCAGCAUGCCUCGCCAUUCUAGUCAUUCAAACGAUUACGCCGUUGCCUUGGUGUGAGUUGACUAAAGGGGUUUCGUUUUAGCCUAAUCAUGAUUCAGGCAUGUAUAUAGACAAGCUACAAAUAAUAUUGCAUAUAGUUAUAGUAGAGGCAACAAAUACAAAUCUCUGAGAAUUACGUGACUUUAAAUUAAACGAAAUAUCACUUUCGUACGUAAAAGUAAUAGCAAUGGCCAAAAAUUUAGCUUAAAAAGUGAGCUAAUAUAGGUAAUAUUGUAUUAUAUGACAUCAUUUGGACAUGACAUGCAGGUCUCCAUAUGUGCAUUAAUUUUGAAAGAUAAUUUGAAACAACACUUACCCUGUGAAAUAAGGUAAUGUAUUUCUUUAUGUUUUCCUUCCAGCACGUGUAUGUCUUACGGCUGAUAAAAUAUCGUCGACUAUAUAUUUACACGUUUUUCUGGGAAGCCCAAGCUUCCCCGGUUCCCGCUAUUAUUGUAUGUAAUAUACUUAUAGGGUAUAAGCAUCCUGCGCGCACGUGCGGGAAGCUUGUGAAGUACGAAGAUGAUAAUUGCGGCAGACGUCGCAUGAAUGCUGCAACAAGCUCUGUUUGACAGUCCCAUACAGCUUUGCUGUUUGCUCGCUUGUUUUGCGCCGCCAUAUAGCAAUCAUGCAUUAUUCUGCCGCAUGGCGCUGCCGAUCAAGAUCUUGCAUGAUCUGACGGCGCAUGAGAUGCUACCUGGGUGAGUCUUCCAAGCCAAAAAAUACCAAAUUAUCAAAUUUUCGAUCCCCUCUAUUUUACGAAAUAUGUGAAAUAAAAAAAUCCUCGAAUACGUAUCCCUAUUUUUUCGAUAUAGAACCCGUCAAAAAAAAUUUCAGGUAAAUCAAAAAUGCGUCGGUCACAAAGGUGUUUGGUUGUAAAAGAAUGUUCGAUGUAUAGUAAAACAUAUCGCGCAAUAUUAGUUUUACACAACACGAAGUAUUUUCAAAUAGUGUUUUUCGAUACUAGUGCGCGAAGGUGGCAAUGCCCGCACAAGCGUGAAGGCGCAACACGAACCCGGAGACGAACCGUAGACGAGUCGAAGGGCGAGUGUGGCGCAUUCACGCGAGAUAGGCAUUGCCAACUUUCGCGCGUGUAUCGAACUCUAUUUUUUGCUACACCUGUAAUGGAAAGUCCGACAUACACGAUUAUAUUUACACGAAACCCACUGAUAUAUAUAUACACUGGAUUGGAUAUUACCGUAUACUCUACGUGUAAGCUCGUGUGUCCAAUUGAACACUUGAAUUUCCGCCAUCUUGUACAGAAAGUUGUCACAGAAUGCGCGCUAGAUUUGAACUGCGUAAAAUAUGCUAUUUAAAUCUAACGAUAUA
rnacentral:lncRNA from 1 species